ACGUGGUAUCCUGUCUGAAUAUGGGGGGACCAUCCUCCAAGGCUAAAUACUCCUGACUGACCGAUAGUGAACCAGUACCGUGAGGGAAAGGCGAAAAGAACCCCGGCGAGGGGAGUGAAAAAGAACCUGAAACCGUGUACGUACAAGCAGUGGGAGCACAGAGCAAUCUGUGUGACUGCGUACCUUUUGUAUAAUGGGUCAGCGACUUAUAUUCUGUAGCAAGGUUAACCGAAUAGGGGAGCCGAAGGGAAACCGAGUCUUAACCGGGCGUUAAGUUGCAGGGUAUAGACCCGAAACCCGGUGAUCUAGCCAUGGGCAGGUUGAAGGUUGGGUAACACUAACUGGAGGACCGAACCGACUAAUGUUGAAAAAUUAGCGGAUGACUUGUGGCUGGGGGUGAAAGGCCAAUCAAACCGGGAGAUAGCUGGUUCUCCCCGAAAGCUAUUUAGGUAGCGCCUCGUGAAUUCAUCUCCGGGGGUAGAGCACUGUUUCGGCAAGGGGGUCAUCCCGACUUACCAACCCGAUGCAAACUGCGAAUACCGGAGAAUGUUAUCACGGGAGACACACGGCGGGUGCUAACGUCCGUCGUGAAGAGGGAAACAACCCAGACCGCCAGCUAAGGUCCCAAAGUCAUGGUUAAGUGGGAAACGAUGUGGGAAGGCCCAGACAGCCAGGAUGUUGGCUUAGAAGCAGCCAUCAUUUAAAGAAAGCGUAAUAGCUCACUGGUCGAGUCGGCCUGCGCGGAAGAUGUAACGGGGCUAAACCAUGCACCGAAGCUGCGGCAGCGACACUGUGUGUUGUUGGGUAGGGGAGCGU
rnacentral:rRNA from 1 species